rnacentral:rRNA from 1 species
AUUGAACGCUGGCGGAAUGCUUUACACAUGCAAGUCGAGCGGCAGCGCGGGGGCAACCCUGGCGGCGAGCGGCGAACGGGUGAGUAACACAUCGGAACGUACCCAGUUGUGGGGGAUAGCCCGGCGAAAGCCGGAUUAAUACCGCAUACGACCUGAGGGUGAAAGGGGGGGAUCGCAAGACCUCUCGCAGUUGGAGCGGCCGAUGGCGGAUUAGCUAGUUGGUGAGGUAAAGGCUCACCAAGGCGACGAUCCGUAGCUGGUCUGAGAGGACGACCAGCCACACUGGAACUGAGACACGGUCCAGACUCCUACGGGAGGCAGCAGUGGGGAAUUUUGGACAAUGGGGGCAACCCUGAUCCAGCCAUUCCGCGUGAGUGAAGAAGGCCUUCGGGUUGUAAAGCUCUUUCGGCAGGAACGAAACGGUGGAGGCUAAUACCUUUCAUCAAUGACGGUACCUGAAGAAGAAGCACCGGCUAACUACGUGCCAGCAGCCGCCGCGG